AUGCCAUGCCAAUUUAAUAUGAUUUUUUCGGGAAUAUUUAAGAAUUUACUAUGCAAAAAUUACCAUGGGGAGAGCUGCCACCUGGCCACGAGGGUGGAGGGCGCGCCCUACCCCCUUGGGCGUGCCCCCCUGCCUCGUGGGCCCACGGUGGCCCUCCUUCACUUAUUCCUGCACCCAUCUUCUUCCUCUGUCUCACACAAACACGAAAAACCAACUCAAGCACGAGUUCCAGCCCCCGUUGCUAUGAUUUUUAAUCUCCUUGCUCAAAGCACCUCUUGCAAAACUGCUUGGGGAGAUUGUUCCUUGGUAUGUGACUCCUCCAUUGGUCCAAAUAGUUUUUGUUCUAGUGCUUUAUUCAUUGCAAAUUUGUGCUGCAUAGGUGACCAUGUUCUUGAGCUUGCAUGUCAAAUUUAUAUGGUUCCAAGUAGUUCCAAUGCUUUAUAUAGGCUCUAG
rnacentral:rRNA from 1 species